GCAUCUGCCAUGGUGGUGUGGGCCCCUUUACUUUUGAGCCAGUGAGAGGGGAGGCGGCUCUCCUGUUCUUUUGACAAAUGGACAUCACGUCUUCGAGCUAAAAAUUAAAGUGUAAAGAAAACAGAAAUUGGAAUUUUAAGACAGUGAGGGGAGGAUUUCUGAAGAGUAUUUGGAACUCUACAAUCCCCUUAGCAGGGUUGUUUGAUGAGGAGAUGAACUCUACACAGAAGACCAUGUGAGAGCAUACCUUCACAG